rnacentral:rRNA from 1 species
UACGAAGGGGGCUAGCGUUGUUCGGAUUUACUGGGCGUAAAGCGCACGUAGGCGGAUUGUUAAGUCAGGGGUGAAAUCCUGGAGCUCAACUCCAGAACUGCCUUUGAUACUGGCAAUCUAGAGUCCGGAAGAGGUGGGUGGAAUUCCUAGUGUAGAGGUGAAAUUCGUAGAUAUUAGGAAGAACACCGGUGGCGAAGGCGGCCCACUGGUCCGGUACUGACGCUGAGGUGCGAAAGCGUGGGGAGCAAACGGG